rnacentral:rRNA from 1 species
AGCGAACGCUGGCGGCAGGCUUAACACAUGCAAGUCGAGCGGGCACUUCGGUGUCAGCGGCAGACGGGUGAGGAACACGUGGGAACGUACCCUUUGGUUCGGAAUAACGCUGGGAAACUAGCGCUAAUACCGGAUACGCCCUUUUGGGGAAAGGCUUGCUGCCGAAGGAUCGGCCCGCGUCUGAUUAGCUAGUUGGUGGGGUAAUGGCCUACCAAGGCGACGAUCAGUAGCUGGUCGGAGAGGAUGAUCAGCCACACUGGGGCUGAGACACGGCCCAGACUCCUACGGGAGGCAGCAGUGGGGAAUAUUGGACAAUGGGCGCAAGCCUGAUCCAGCCAUGCCGCGUGAGUGAUGAAGGCCUUAGGGUUGUAAAGCUCUUUUGUCCGGGACGAUAAUGACGGUACCGGAAGAAUAAGCCCCGGCUAACUUCGUG